rnacentral:rRNA from 1 species
AUUGAACGCUGGCGGCAUGUCUUACACAUGCAAGUCGAACGGCAGCACGGGAGCAAUCCUGGUGGCGAGUGGCGAACGGGUGAGUAAUAUAUCGGAACGUGCCCAGUCGUGGGGGAUAACGCAGCGAAAGCUGUGCUAAUACCGCAUACGAUCUACGGAUGAAAGCGGGGGAUCGCAAGACCUCGCGCGAUUGGAGCGGCCGAUAUCAGAUUAGCUAGUUGGUGAGGUAAAGGCUCACCAAGGCGACGAUCUGUAGCUGGUUUGAGAGGACGACCAGCCACACUGGAACUGAGACACGGUCCAGACUCCUACGGGAGGCAGCAGUGGGGAAUUUUGGACAAUGGGCGAAAGCCUGAUCCAGCAAUGCCGCGUGCAGGAUGAAGGCCUUCGGGUUGUAAACUGCUUUUGUACGGAACGAAACGGUGAGCUCUAAUACAGUUUGCUAAUGACGGUACCGUAAGAAUAAGCACCGGCUAACUACGUGCCAGCCGCCGCCGUAA